AAUAAUCCCCCACGCUUGGCUCCAUCAGACAGUUCUGUUCAUUAGGCUGUAACGAAUCAACCGAUUCAGAUGCUACGUACAAUCAUUAAUUCUUUGUAAUAGACACCUUCAUAUUUUCCGUGGCACGUAAAUUUUAUCACUCAUCCCUGACUGCUGGGGCUACAGUUUGCAUAGCUACGGCUAAGUUUUUGUGUUUAUUUUGCUCGAGCGUUCUGCCCCAACGCGCGUCAUUACUUCACGGUUGACAUCGUGCAUAUGGUUGGAAGAUACGAGAGGUUUCAUCUACGAAUCGCAGUUGGCAUUUCGCUUACGGUUGCUUGGUGAAAUAAUUUCUAGCACUGGCUGGUUUGGUUGGUUAUGAAUGUGUGUAGCAGUUUGAGCAAUUGUUGUAUGUCGCUGUCCUGCAUAAACAGAGUACUGUCAUAUUUUCAUCAUCAUCUUGUAUACCCACCCAGCUACCUCAAAAUGUCCCGUACCAAAGUGUCUUCCUAAUCCUUGUACAUACGCUCAGUAUUAAACUAUUGCUGCAACUCGUUGGAACAAACAACCACCAAACCGAAGUAGUGAAAACUGCUGUGUGCUCUAAUGCAAAUGGCUUGGCUCGGGAUCGGUGCAUUGGCAUCCGGUUUAGCAAUCCAGCGAUUGUUAGGCGGGGACGUUCCUCCUAACAAGGUACAGGAAGUGAAAAAUGAGUCCUACAUCAACUUGCCAGUACUUCAGCGGAAUGAAUCGAUGCGACUGUUUGCUCCGAAUCCCAACUCCCCGGACAAAAAGCUGGUGUACGAAAUCAUACUGGAAAGGCCCCAUUCGGAAACGAUCAACACAUCCUACAGCUUGUAUCGAGCAACAACACAAUCGGCAGCCGAGGAAAAAUUUGAGGCCUUCCAUCAACGUUUGCCAGAAUUGGUAAAAAUCGUUCGCGAGAUGUACAAUAUCAAUGGUUUGCAAAAGCUUUGCGACGUACUGAUUGAUAACCCUUCCUGGUCCUUGGCACACGUUGUUGCUUUUUAUAAUCUUACUGAUUAUAUUUCGAAUCCUAGUAUUAUUGAUUUUCUCGACUAUGCUGAAUAUUCUGAGAUGAUGACUCCAUUGCAGGUUGCUGUUAAGGCGAACAACAUUGAGUUUGUAAAAGCAUUGAUACAGUCUAAUCAAUGCAACUUGGAGCAUCUGGAUAAGAACAGCAAUUCGGUGUUUCACUACGCGGCUAGCACGACAAAGGAAAUGAUAAAUAUGUUAACAGCAAAAAGUACCUCCAACCUUAAUCAUUGCAACACCGAUGGCUAUACGCCGCUUCAUUUGGCGUGUUUGGCAGACAAACCGGACUGCGUGAAGGCACUGCUGCUUGCCGGAGCCGAUACGAAUAAGAUGGCCCGAGGAGCUGGAACCUCUUAUAGCAAAUCCAUUCCAUCGACCUGCACUGAUGAACCUUCUUCUACAGGUAAUGUAGCCGAUUUUCUUGUCAGCAAUCCAAACAAACUGUUCACACAAGACAUGAAACACGGCGGCACCCCGCUGCACUGGAGCUCCAGCCGUGAGGUAUUGAACUCUUUAAUAGAGCGUGGUUGCGAUGUAAAUUUAGUAAAUUUCAACGGCCAAACUCCAUUGCAUGUGAUGGUGGCACGCGACCGGUUGGAAUGUGUCGUUGCGUUGUUGGCUCACGAUGCUGAGAUUGAUGUGGUUGAUAACUCCGGCAACACUCCUCUACAUAUUGCGGUAGAAAAGAAGCUUAUUCCGAUCGUGCAGUGUUUGGUAGUGUUCGGUGCAGACUUUAACAAACCGAACAAGGAUGGUAAAACGCCCCGUCACUUGGUCGGAAAGGAUGACAGUGGCUCAAAGGAUUCGAUGAUUCUGUACAUUUUGCACUCGGUGGGUGCAAAACGGUGCCCUGAAAAGGGUAGUAAAUGUCCUCCAGGGUGUGCUGCGGGCGGUACCUAUAAUGGCAUCCCACCGGCCCAACCGGAAACGACGGAGCAGCGUGAACACAUCCAGCAGGUGCUGGCCCGAACAACUACCAAGUCACAUCGCAACAGUGUGCCAAGUCUGAUAUCGAACACGAUUCGUGCGACCAUCCCCGAGGAGCGCGAACGGCCGGAAGUGAAAACAGUCGACGUCAGUCAAGAGCGUAAAGGCGCGAGCAUGAUGGAUGCGUUGCUUUCGAUGUUUAUGAGCAAGGUAGAGGCUGCCUCUAAACCCACUUCCCCUACGUCCACGUCUUCUUCGAUGAAGGGUGGAGUGAACCUGCUGGGCGAUUUCGAUGUCGGCGACGAACCGAUGCUAACAGAUGAACCGGCCGGUCCGGAGUCUCCCAAGACACCGACGGCAGAAUGUGCUGGUGGCAGUGGUCAGCGAACGGAUUCGCGGCCCCGUUCGUCCUGUGAAGCGGGAGCUAGUGGCGAAUCGUACAAUGGGCGCGGCCGACUGCUCUGUCUGGAUGGUGGUGGUAUCAGGGGACUUGUUUUGGCACAAAUGCUUUUGGAAAUAGAAAAUCUCGCCCAAACACCCAUCGUGCAUCUGUUCGACUGGAUCGCCGGUACCAGUACUGGGGGAAUUUUGGCGCUUGCAUUAGGAUGCGGUAAAACCAUGAAACAAUGCAUGUGUCUGUAUCUGCGUAUGAAGGACCAAGCGUUCGUCGGAUCCCGGCCCUACCCAAGUGAUCAGCUGGAAACGGUGUUGAAAGAGCAGCUGGGAGAGUUUACCGUCAUGUCGGAUAUCAAACAUCCUCGAUUGAUGGUAACGGGAGUGAUGGCUGAUAGGAAGCCGGUAAAUUUGCAUCUAUUCCGCAACUACGAGGCCGCCAGCGAUAUUUUAAGCAUCGUGACGCCAUCAAAUAAUCGUGGACAGCCGCCACCGCCGCCUAGCGAACAGCUGGUGUGGCGUGCAGCCCGAGCCACCGGGGCCGCACCGUCGUACUUUCGUGCGUUCGGCCGUUUUCUCGAUGGUGGAUUGAUUGCGAAUAAUCCGACGCUGGACGCCAUGACCGAAAUUCACGAACUGAAUGCCGCACUGCAUUACAUUGGUCGGGCAUCCGAGGCAGUACCGGUGUCGGUGGUAGUGUCCCUGGGCACAGGAUUAACACCGGUAGUGGAUUUGAAAGAAAUCGAUGUGUUUCGUCCGGAUAGCAUAUGGGCUACGGCCAAAGUGGCCUACGGUAUAUCUACCAUCAGCACACUGCUGGUAGAUCAGGCUACAGCAUCCGAUGGACGGGUAGUAGAUCGUGCCAGAGCGUGGUGUAGUAUGAUAGGAGUACCGUACUUCCGGUUCAAUCCGCAGAUGUCUGUUGACAUUGGAAUGGACGAAAAGAUGGACGAACCACUAAUCAAUAUGCUGUGGGAGGCAAAGGCAUACAUGCACAGCAACCGAAAGCAGGUCAUCGAGCUGAUCAAUCUGCUCAAAUAGCAGUAAGCUUCAAGCGCAGGUUGUCAAAGAAAGUAAACAAAUGUUAUAUCUAUUUACCGUAAUUCCCACACCACCUUUCACCACCAUUCAAAUGGUUGCCCACCAAGCACGAACAUUCCUAAAAGUGACUUUGUUGCCGGAUGAAUUUGCUUUUUUUGAAGAGGAUAACUUACCGAAAGUAGCAGCUAGCAGAACGUUCGUUCGAUCGAUCGGGCUGAAUAUAUUGAAUGGCGCCAUUGCUUUUGAUUGUUCCAAAAAUCGUACUGAAUUGUUGACAAUAUCUUUAGAAAAACGAACACUGUGUGCUAACUAAUAAUCAGCGAUCAGGGAAAGCUUCUUCAGUAGCACCGAAACGCAUCGAAUAGAACACUAAAGUACGGGAAAAUUGGAGACAUUAUUUGGAAGAUGUUUGCAGUCGACGAAGAUGUUGUCGUACGGGCGAAGUUAAAAUAACAAUAAGCUAAACCAUAAAUACCUUUCACACUGGCACACGAGUGUAGUGGAAUACAAAUUGUCCUUAAUUGUUAAUAUCGCGCUUGACACGUUGCCAGAUGUACGCAAAUAUGUUUAACUUUAUAUGAUCAUGCUUGAGACAACAGCCGAGUUGAACGUCCUGGGGGAAAGAAAUCGUUUUCAUUGUGAUGUCGUGUAAUUAUAUGUGUAAUUUUUUACGGAGCAAAAUACGAUACAAAAGAUAAAAGAUGUUCUCUAGAUGUGGUGUGGUGCAGAGUAGAGGCAAAUUACCUGUUUUGUGCAUGCAAAAUUUUGCUUUCAUUUAUUAUGCGCUGCUAUGGGUAUUCCUGAUGGCAAUCUACUUAUUGUUUAGAUUACACAAACAUCUCCCUAUAUAAACAAAAACACACACACACACACACACACACACACACACACACACACACACACACACACACACACACACACACACAAAUACGCAAACAAUGUUAUGUUGUACUAAAAUGCAAGAUACAAUAACGUUUAUAUCAUAAAAAAACCCACCAAACAUGCGUCUGUGCUGUAAAGGCGAACAGUGAACAGGGAUUGGGAGUUAGUUUGACCGAUUUUAUUAAACAAAAGAAGAGAAAAGAAAAAAACGGAAGUAAAACUUCGCUCACCAUGCGCACCAAAUAAUAUAGUGUUACUAUUUAUUUUGUUUAUUGUUUAUUUGUGGUCCAAGUGGUCCAAUACCUGCAACAAUGGUUAAAUAUGUUUCUUCCAAUAAAUCUUUCCAACGAUGAUACUACCCGCAAAGUGCAAGUACUGAACUGAUCGAGCGAUCGUUAUCGUAUUUCUUUCCUUUUUCGCUCUGCAAGUGCUCGGAAGAUUGUGUUGUAACGUAAAAACAAGAGAUAUUCUCAUGUCAUUUAAAUCGUAAUGAAAAGCUGCAUAAUUGGAUUAGCAAACCCCAACAAGAGAAGAAAAAGACGAAUUGGCUGUCACAAAAUUGUACUACCAUUUUGAUGUUAACACAAUUGUAAGCAAAGAGAAAACGAAAGAGCAAAAACAUCAUGACUAAAUUGGCGCUUCGUUCACGAAACACUAUAGAAACAAAAAAAAGCAUGCAACAUUGUUCUGUGUGUAUGAACUGUCGAGGGAUUGAUUUUUGCGCUGUGCUGAAUGCGGCACCAUUCUCAAGACCAAUCCCAAGCGCAUUUUAUAAUAAACUUUUCAAUUAGU